rnacentral:rRNA from 1 species
UACAGAGGGGGCAAGCGUUAUUCGGAAUUAUUGGGCGUAAAGGGCGCGUAGGCGGCUUGGCAAGUGGGUGGUGAAAUCCCUCGGCUUAACCGAGGAACUGCCGUCCAAACUGCUUAGCUUGAGACCGGGAGAGGUGAGUGGAAUUCCCAGUGUAGCGGUGAAAUGCGUAGAUAUUGGGAGGAACACCAGUGGCGAAGGCGGCUCACUGGACCGGUACUGACGCUGAGGCGCGAAAGCGUGGGGAGCAAACAGG